GUUACAUAUCAAUUACAAAUGCAAGCUGAGCCUUUGUUAAUGAUGUCCUCACGUAGAUUUCUCUUCAGAUUAAUUAAUGCAGCUGCUUGUGCAGGAGGAUGCCCCCAUACAUGCAGUGUCAAAGCCUUCACUCCCACACAAGCACGCAAGGAGAACCCAUGUCGAGACCUGCAGUGGCCGAGGAUCCUGUUCCUGAGUCCCCGUGUGCCAGGAAUACUAGUUCACACUGCUUGGCAGCACAGAGAUGGAGGGAGGAUGGUGGAGAAAGAUAAAAAAGAAAAGAAACAAACAGAAGAAAAAAACAAGAGAGCUGCGGCACCAGUGACACCAUACACAGUGCUCGGGGAGGACAUCAGAGAAGGAAAACCGCUCAACCACUGCAAAGAAAAAAAAAUGUGCAUGCAUUAGUACUGCAUUACUGUUAUACUGCAUGUUUUUACACCAGAAGUGGAAUUUGAGCCAGAGCUAAUUGUUUAGUAGGUCCCUUGGUCCCCAGUGACAAAACUUUAGUAUGUAAGGGCACGAGUAGUCCGCCAGGGAACUGAGCGAAUGCUGCAAUGCUUGACUUUAAGUCACAGCGUUAUCUACUCCUAAACCUAAGCAAGUCAUUUUCAUCAUUCAACAUCAACAAAAAUUGAGUGAAAAUAACAUAAAUGCAAAAUUACAAGUGGAGUUCUCAUGUAGUCUUUCACACAGUGCACACAUACAGUGAGUUUCAAGAGGAAAACGUCUCAAAUCGAACACUGAGUUGUACAUUUAACAAAAAGGAUGUUUACAGCAUCUUAUGAUCGUCAUGCUAGCUACUGCAUUUGUGAACAUCUGGAACUUGCCACAAUUCUCUGACCACAUAUUUUACUAAAUUCUUCUACAGUGGAGAUGAGAAGUUGUAACGCAUAAACACUAAACACACAAGAAAAUGUGGGAUUUUAGCCCUACCUAAAAGGUAGCUAGCACUGGUGGCAUCAGUGCUGAUGUCUCUGAGAGAAAACCAGCAUGCUAAAGCCCUGAGGCAACUGUUGUUGUGAUUUGGUGCUUUCUAAAUAAAAUGAACAUGAAUUGAAUUUAAACAAGCUGUUCCUUGCUCUUCUUUUCAUUGCUAUGAGUUAUUGUACUCAUGCACAGAUAUGUGUAACAAGUAAAUGUGUAAAUUACGAGAAAAAGUUUUGUCUUGCAAGCCAUCUUGGCUAACAUAUUCGAUGUAGGAGUUAGAUUGGAGUGUGAAGAAAGUAUCAAAAAUAGAUUUAGAAAAUAAAAACUCCUUUAACAUGUUACCAGUGAAAGCCUUGAUGACUGAGCGGGAACCUCAACUCCAGCCACUGAGACUGAACAGGCUCAACCACAAUCUAUAAGUGAUGACUUUUAACCAG
ensembl:lncRNA